rnacentral:rRNA from 1 species
AUUGAACGCUGGCGGCAGGCCUAACACAUGCAAGUCGAGCGGAUGACGGGAGCUUGCUCCUUGAUUCAGCGGCGGACGGGUGAGUAAUGCCUAGGAAUCUGCCUGGUAGUGGGGGACAACGUUUCGAAAGGAACGCUAAUACCGCAUACGUCCUACGGGAGAAAGCAGGGGACCUUCGGGCCUUGCACUAUCAGAUGAGC